GAUGAACGCUGGCGGCGUGCCUAAUACAUGCAAGUCGAGCGAACAGAUGAGGAGCUUGCUCCUCUGACGUUAGCGGCGGACGGGUGAGUAACACGUGGAUAACCUACCUAUAAGACUGGGAUAACUUCGGGAAACCGGAGCUAAUACCGGAUAAUAUCUUGAACCGCAUGGUUCAAUAGUGAAAGACGGUUUUGCUGUCACUUAUAGAUGGAUCCGCGCCGCAUUAGCUAGUUGGUAAGGUAACGGCUUACCAAGGCAACGAUGCGUAGCCGACCUGAGAGGGUGAUCGGCCACACUGGAACUGAGACACGGUCCAGACUCCUACGGGAGGCAGCAGUAGGGAAUCUUCCGCAAUGGGCGAAAGCCUGACGGAGCAACGCCGCGUGAGUGAUGAAGGUCUUCGGAUCGUAAAACUCUGUUAUUAGGGAAGAACAAAUGUGUAAGUAACUAUGCACGUCUUGACGGUACCUAAUCAGAAAGCCACGGCUAACUACGUG
rnacentral:rRNA from 1 species